rnacentral:sRNA from 1 species
GAGUGGGAGUUCGAGGUGACAGCCUUCUACCGGGGCCGCCAAGUCUUCCAGCAGACCAUCUCCUGCCCGGAGGGCCUGCGGCUGGUGGGGUCCGAAGUGGGAGACAGGACGCUGCCUGGAUGGCCAGUCACACUGCCAGACCCUGGCAUGUCCCUGACAGACAGGGGAGUGAUGAGCUACGUGAGGCAUGUGCUGAGCUGCCUGGGUGGGGGACUGGCUCUCUGGCGGGCCGGGCAGUGGCUCUGGGCCCAGCGGCUGGGGCACUGCCACACAUACUGGGCAGUGAGCGAGGAGCUGCUCCCCAACAGCGGGCAUGGGCCUGAUGGCGAGGUCCCCAAGGACAAGGAAGGAGGCGUGUUUGACCUGGGGCCCUUCAUUGUAGCCUGGUGACAGAGCAAGACUCCAUCUCGAAC